GACGAACGCUGGCGGCGUGCCUAAUACAUGCAAGUAGAACGCACAGUUUAUACCGUAGCUUGCUACACCAUAGACUGUGAGUUGCGAACGGGUGAGUAACGCGUAGGUAACCUGCCUGGUAGCGGGGGAUAACUAUUGGAAACGAUAGCUACUACCGCAUAAUAUUAAUUAUUGCAUGAUAAUUAAUUGAAAGGUGCAAUUGCACCACUACCAGAUGGACCUACGUUGUAUUAGCUAGUAGGUGAGGUAACGGCUCACCUAGGCGACGAUACAUAGCCGACCUGAGAGGGUGAUCGGCCACACUGGGACUGAGACACGGCCCAGACUCCUACGGGAGGCAGCAGUAGGGAAUCUUCGUCAAUGACGAAAGUCUGACCGAGCAACGCCGCGGGAGUGAAGAAGGUUUUCGGAUCGUAAAGCUCUGUUGUAAGAGAAGAACGGGUGUGAGAGUGGAAAGUUCACACUGUGACGGUAUCUUACCAGAAAGGGACGGCUAACUACGUG
rnacentral:rRNA from 1 species